GCGGCUCCGGUUCACCUCGGUCCCCCGGGGACCCGGCGCC
rnacentral:ncRNA from 1 species